AUUGAACGCUGGCGGCAUGCUUUACACUGCAGUCGAACGGCAGCGCGGGCUUCGGCCUGGCGGCGAUGGCGAACGGGUGAGUAAUACAUCGGAACGUGCCCAGUAGUGGGGGAUAGCUCGGCGAAAGCCGGAUUAAUACCGCAUACGACCUGAGGGUGAAAGCGGGGGAUCUUCGGACCUCGCGCUAUUGGAGCGGCCGAUGGCAGAUUAGCUUGUUGGUGGGGUAAAGGCCUACCAAGGCGACGAUCUGUAGCUGGUCUGAGAGGACGACCAGCCACACUGGGACUGAGACACGGCCCAGACUCCUACGGGAGGCAGCAGUGGGGAAUUUUGGACAAUGGGCGCAAGCCUGAUCCAGCAAUGCCGCGUGUGUGAUGAAGGCCUUCGGGUUGUAAAGCACUUUUGGCGGGAACGAAAAGGACUGUGCCAAUACCACGGUUCGAUGACGUACCCGCAGAAUAAGCACCGCUAAUACC
rnacentral:rRNA from 1 species